AAGAAAUAUUUAAAAAAUUUUUAAUCCUGUUUAUAGUUGAGAAAAGAUCGAGAUUGUUUUUUAGUAGAAAAAAAUUAAUAAAUAAUUAGUAGAAAAUAGGCUUAGUGAAAAUAGGCUUAGUGUCAGUGUUUGCACUAUUGAAUCCGCAUAUUAUAUACCAGCAAAUGUAAAGUCGAAGUUGAUAAAAACUGUGCUAUAAUUGAAGUCGGCAGUGAUAGCUACAUUAAUACACAAAACUUGAUACUCACGUAGUGUUUAGUUCAUUGAUGCCAAUCCAUCAUUAAAAUAUGACAGUCUUUCUUCACUAUUGAUUUAUUUUAGUGAUGUGUAUCGUGUUUUUUUCUUCAUAUUUUUCACAAAGUAUCCAAAAAUAGUAAGUAAUAUGCUUGAUGUACUAUCAACAAGGAUUCAAGAAGUUUAAGCUCAUUGGGACUCGAGAAAAAAUGUCAUUCGUGAUACUGAAGAUAAUGUUAAACAUCUUUCACUUUAUGGAUUAAGACGCACAGGCCAGUAAACUCAAAGAAGAAGAAUUAAAAGCAGAGAACAAAUAAGAAAAUUAAGAGAAAAUGCGCUGUUCAAAAUAUAGGAAGCUGAACUUUUUGUUCCUCCUGUACCAAAAAUAUAAUCAUUUAUUUAUUAAUGUUGUCAAACAUUUACACCUACAUCAAGAGGUACAUAACUGGGAAGAAAUUUAUUACUCGUUGAACCGGGCGG